rnacentral:rRNA from 1 species
GACGAACGCUGGCGGCGUGCUUAACACAUGCAAGUCGAACGGAAAGGCCCUGCUUUUGUGGGGUGCUCGAGCGGCGAACGGGUGAGUAACACGUGAGUAACCUGCCCUUGACUUUGGGAUAACUUCAGGAAACUGGGGCUAAUACCGGAUAGGAGCUCCUGCUGCAUGGUGGGGGUUGGAAAGUUUCGGCGGUUGGGGAUGGACUCGCGGCUUAUCAGCUUGUUGGUGGGGUAGUGGCUUACCAAGGCUUUGACGGGUAGCCGGCCUGAGAGGGUGAACGGCCACAUUGGGACUGAGAUACGGCCCAGACUCCAACGGGAGGCAGCAGUGGGGAAUAUUGCACAAUGGGCGGAAGCCUGAUGCAGAAACGCCGCGUGCGGGAUGACGGCCUUCGGGUGGGAAACCGCUUUCGCCUGUGACGAAGCGUGAGUGACGGUAAUGGGUAAAGAAGCACCGGCUAACUACGUG